rnacentral:tRNA from 1 species
GGAGGGAUGGCAGAGUGGUUGAAUGCGCCGGUCUCAAAAACCGGUGGGCCCCUCCGGGUCUCGCGGGUUCGAAUCCCGCUCCCUCCACCA